UAGAAAAUAGCAUAGUGGGGAGUGCGGGGGGUUUUGAUUCCUCAAGUGUGGGUUCGAGUCCCAUUUUUCUAA
rnacentral:tRNA from 1 species